rnacentral:rRNA from 1 species
CCUACGGGUGGCUGCAGUGAGGAAUAUUGGUCAAUGGACGAGAGUCUGAACCAGCCAAGUAGCGUGAAGGAUGACUGCCCUAUGGGUUGUAAACUUCUUUUAUAUGGGAAUAAAAUGUUCCACGUGUGGGAUUUUGUAUGUACCAUAUGAAUAAGGAUCGGCUAACUCCGUGCCAGCAGCCGCGGUAAUACGGAGGAUCCGAGCGUUAUCCGGAUUUAUUGGGUUUAAAGGGAGCUUAGGUGGAUUGUUAAGUCAGUUGUGAAAGUUUGCGGCUCAACCGUAAAAUUGCAGUUGAAACUGGCAGUCUUGAGUACAGUAGAGGUGGGCGGAAUUCGUGGUGUAGCGGUGAAAUGCUUAGAUAUCACGAAGAACUCCGAUUGCGAAGGCAGUUCACUGGACUGUAACUGACACUGAGGCUCGAAAGUGUGGGUAUCAAACAGGAUUAGAUACCCGUGUAGUC